rnacentral:rRNA from 1 species
AAAUUGAAGAGUUUGAUCAUGGCUCAGAUUGAACGCUGGCGGCAGGCCUAACACAUGCAAGUCGAACGGUAACAGGAAGCAGCUUGCUGCUUCGCUGACAAGUGGCGGACGGGUGAGUAAUGUCUGGGAAACUGCCUGAUGGAGGGGGAUAACUACUGGAAACGGUGGCUAAUACCGCAUGACGUCGCAAGACCAAAGAG